rnacentral:rRNA from 1 species
GGAUGAACGCUGGCGGCGUGCCUAAKACAUGCAAGUCGAGSGAACAGACGAGGAGCUUGCUCCUCUGACGUUAGCGGCGGACGGGUGAGUAACACGUGGAUAACCUACCUAUAAGACUGGGAUAACUUCGGGAAACCGGAGCUAAUACCGGAUAAUAUAUUGAACCGCAUGGUUCAAUAGUGAAAGACGGUUUUGCUGUCACUUAUAGAUGGAUCCGCGCCGCAUUAGCUAGUUGGUAAGGUAACGGCUUACCAAGGCAACGAUGCGUAGCCGACCUGAGAGGGUGAUCGGCCACACUGGAACUGAGACACGGUCCAGACUCCUACGGGAGGCAGCAGUAGGGAAUCUUCCGCAAUGGGCGAAAGCCUGACGGAGCAACGCCGCGUGAGUGAUGAAGGUCUUCGGAUCGUAAAACUCUGUUAUUAGGGAAGAACAAAUGUGUAAGUAACUAUGCACGUCUUGACGGUACCUAAU